rnacentral:rRNA from 1 species
GAUGAACGCUGACAGAAUGCUUAACACAUGCAAGUCUUUGGCGAAGCUGUGCUUGCACAGCCUAGCCAAGGCGGACGGGUGAGUAACGCGUAAGGAACUUGCCCUGCAGUCUGGGAUAACAGACGGAAACGACUGAUAAGACCUGGUAAAGUCAGGCGGACUCAUGUCCAGCCUGAUGAAAAGAGAUGCUGCAGGAGAGCCUUGCGUCCUAUUAGCUUGUUGGUGGGGUAACGGCCCACCAAGGCGAUGAUAGGUAGCCGGCCUGAGAGGGUGGACGGCCACAAGGGGACUGAGAUACGGCCCUUACUCCUACGGGAGGCAGCAGUGGGGAAUAUUGGACAAUGGGGGCAACCCUGAUCCAGCAAUUCUGUGUGCACGAUGAAGGUUUUCGGAUUGUAAAGUGCUUUCAGCAGGGAAGAAAAAAAUGACGGUACCUGCAGAAGAAGCGACGGCUAAAUACGU